GCCCAGCCGGGGUUUUUCGUGCCAGCCCGUAGACGUCGGCCGUGCUUCGGUCGCGGACGAAACUUUACGAAGGAUUGUGGCCCCGGUCCAAGGGCGUAUAGGGUGAAAAACUUUGUUAUGGCAAAGCCUCCAGCUUCUCCUCCAGCUUCUCCUCCACCUCCACCUCCAGUCACACCAAAACCACCCCGCAGAAAACCCUAAAACACCGCUAAUGGGUUAAGCAUUUUCCUCUGGCCGAAAUAGAUAAACUUACGGUUGAAGCUUG